UCCUCUUUUCAGUAACCAUUUCUUCUCUUUCAACCAUAAUAUUGAACACCAGUAGUGAGUAUUUGAUUGUUCUUCUACUGUAUAUUUUCUCCUGCAAUUUCUUUAUUGUUACUUAGGUUUGUUGUGAUGAAGUUAUUGCAAUUGUUUAUUGUUAGCAUUAUAUUUUGCUAUAAUUUAUUAUAUUGAUUAUAUCCUCAAGUUCUCUUUGCUGUUUUUUUCUUUACACUCUCUUAUUUCCUUUUAACUUUAUUAGCGCUCAACAUGUUCGAUGAAAUGCUUCAACUGAAUUUGCUUAGGUUUGUGUGCAGAGUGAGCUACUUGUUAAUAUUUACAUAAAAUAUUUUCCUCUUCUUCUUUUUAUAUUUAUGUGAUAUGCUUUUUUAAUUUGAUAUUCAUUCUUCUACUUGUAGAAUAAGCACAAUGCUCUUUACGAGUGCAGGAAUAUCAACUUCUUGUUGUAUACCUGAUUUUAGAGGUCCUAAGAGAAUUUGGACACUUUAGGUAAUUAUUUUGAAUCUUGCAAAUGCUUAUUCUCUGAUGAAAUUAAGUUUUUAUUCCCAUGGUUUAUCCUAAUUCCUAGCCUAGUUACUUGGAUUUGUUUUGAACCUGAGAUUGCCAAAGGGAAACAUGUUCCUACACUAUAUGUUGAAUUUGAAAUCAAACCCAAAAUUUUAUGUUAAAUGUAGGUUUUUCUACUGAAGAGUCAUAAAGUACUAUGAUAAUUGAUAUUGUUGGACAAAGCUAUUAAAAAUUAAGUCAGAUGCUGCUAUCAUUUGCAAUGCACUCAUUUCUUAUAAAGAAUUUUCAGCUUUCUCCUGUUAAGUAGAAGCAACAUAAUCUCCAAGUACUUUCGUGACUUUGAGGUAGAAACUAUUGGUUUAAAGGAGACAUCACGAUUCUGUUCAGAUGAAAAAUAUGGAGCAAGACUCGGGGAUACAGUCCUUGACUGGGAGGUGAGUGAUGCUAUGGCAACAUUAGCUGGAGCAGAAUAUUGGGACAAUGAUGUUGCUGUUGCUAUCAUUUGAGGUAUCGAAACUAAUGCCUACUAUGUUGAGCAAAUUGAUGGCAUUCCUAAGUUACAAGGUGGUGUCUCCUCUUCUAGAAAAAUGCCAGCAAGCAUAACUUGUAACUGUGUCUUCUUCUCCUCCCAGUUUGAUGAUGGGCUUGGUUUUGACAUUUCAUCGGCAUCAUACGCUAAAUCACAGGUGAGUAUAUUUUUCUUUGUGAAUUGAAUUUUAUGCCUAGUUAGGAUCCUAGUUCUAAUUGAGUGCAUGAGAAGAUAAUCCUAGUUCCAUAUGUAAUGUGCUGCAUAUCAAAGGUGGUUGCUAUAUGUAUUUUGUAAAAACCAUCAUUCUAAUACAAACGAAGAUGAUCUCAUAGAUAUUAAUCAGUACAGAGUAAUCUCUAUAUUUCAAGUACAUUUAGAAACUUUUUUUAUUUUUAUAUUCUUUUACUUAAUAAACUAUCUAUACAAUAAAAGUAGUCGAAUAAGAAUAUAAAAUAUUUUAUAGUAUAUAUCAAAAUUAAAUUCGUUUACCAAAGUAUUGAAAGAGAAUCCAGAUAUGGUGGCAAGAAAACUGCAUAAAGAUAUAUAAAUUCAUAACACGUGACAAAAAAAAACAAUUAUUAUUGUUAACAUAGAUGGAAAAAAAGAAGAAAAAAGUAGUAAGUAGUAAGAGAGGAAGCAAGGUAAGGAGUUAGUGAUGGGCGUGUUGAGAAAGUGAAGAAGCAAUGAUGGGUGCACACGUGGGAAUCAUAUCACCUUCCACCUUCUUGCCUCGAUUUCCUCCAACUUCUUUAAUCAAAACCAAAAUCAAAAUCAACACAUCACCUGGUAAGUAUUAAUCAAAUUUCAUCUCAUACACUUUGUUAUUGCAAUUUAUAUAUUUAUUUAGUCUCACACUCAGUUCUACUACUUUCUGUGUAGCUAAAUUGCUUUGCUUCUUUCUAUCCAAUUUGUUUCUUAGGUUUGGCAUUUUGGCAUUUUUCCCUUCAAAGAUUAAGUAGCCUUUUGGCAUUUUUCUCACUGUUACAACUCUUACUGUAUACAUACCCAAGCAUAGUUUAGUUGUUGAUGAAGCCCCCAAAUAUUUAAUCUUUUGCUGAUAACUACUACUUCUUGCUCUUGGAUUAUUUUCAUAGUUUAAUUUCUGCUUGAGCUGCUCUUUCUAUUAGGAUUAUUCUUAAGUUAUUUUCUUUAUACUUUAUCAGUUUUUAUGAUCUGGUCUUGUUUUGUUCGCUGUGUUGGAUACUGUAGCUGAAAUUACUCGUGAUAAAGCAAAGAAAAAUGAUACACAUGAGGGAAAUAAUUAAUCUAUCAAUAAUUACAAGAAUGAUAAUUAAUCUAUCAAUAAUUAAUAAAUAAUUAUAAUUUUUUUUUUGGAAUGCAGAAUUUGAUUUUAACUCCAUUAUUCUUUUCCUUUGUUUCUUUCCCAGGAAACUCUAAUAUAGAACCAAUUUCUUGGAACACUCGUCUCAAAAUAGCUAUUGAUGCUGCUAGAGGCUUGGGUUUUUUGCACACUUCAGAAAGCAAGUUAUAUAUAGAGAAUUUAAGACCUCCAAUAUAUUAUUAGAUUUUGUCGAUUAUGACUAUGUAAAACAUAUAGAAUUCAACUUUUGAAAUAUUAUGACUGUUUGGCAAUAGCUAAUUAUGUUGUUUCUAUUUUUGUAAA